UACGUAGGGUGCAAGCGUUAAUCGGAAUUACUGGGCGUAAAGCGUGCGCAGGCGGUUUUGUAAGACAGUUGUGAAAUCCCCGGGCUUAACCUGGGAACUGCAUUUGUGACUGCAAGGCUGGAGUGCGGCAGAGGGGGAUGGAAUUCCGCGUGUAGCAGUGAAAUGCGUAGAUAUGCGGAGGAACACCGAUGGCGAAGGCAAUCCCCUGGGCCUGCACUGACGCUCAUGCACGAAAGCGUGGGGAGCAAACAGG
rnacentral:rRNA from 1 species